UGAAAAGCUUUGAAUGGGAAGAGUACGCGGCAGAAGGCUGUUAGAGAGAGGAAUCCACCGGCUGAAAGAUUCCUUCAGUAACCAAAUCCGCAGAAGGUCGCCCAGGAGCUGUUUUCGUGAACCUGUUGAAAGUAGCGAGAACCGGUGAAGAGCCGUUAUGAUGAAUGAAGAGCCGGAGGCAUGCUUAUUCAGCAUGUGCCGGAAUGAAGGUGGUACCGCGAGACUAACCGUUUCGUCCUUUUG
rnacentral:ncRNA from 1 species